CAGCCGCCGCGGGAAUACGUAGGUGGCAAGCGUUAUCCGGAAUUAUUGGGCGUAAAGCGCGCGUAGGCGGUUUUUUAAGUCUGAUGUGAAAGCCCACGGCUCAACCGUGGAGGGUCAUUGGAAACUGGAAAACUUGAGUGCAGAAGAGGAAAGUGGAAUUCCAUGUGUAGCGGUGAAAUGCGCAGAGAUAUGGAGGAACACCAGUGGCGGAGGCGACUUUCUGGUCUGUAACUGACGCUGAUGUGCGAAAGCGUGGGGAUCAAACAGGAUUAGAUACCCCUGUAGUCCCUGUCUCUUAUAC
rnacentral:rRNA from 1 species